rnacentral:rRNA from 1 species
AUUGAACGCUGGCGGCAUGCCUAAUACAUGCAAGUCGAGCGAGUGGCGGACGGGUGAGUAAUGUCUGGGAAACUGCCUGAUAGAGGGGGAUAACUACUGGAAACGGUCGCUAAUACCGCAUACCAUCGGAUGUGCCCAUAUGGGAUUCGCUAGUUGGUGGGGUAAAGGCUCACCUAGGCGACGAUCCCUAGCUGGUCUGAGAGGAUGACCGUCCACACUGGAACUGAGACACGGCCCAGACUCCUACGGGAGGCAGCAGUGGGGAAUAUUGCACAAUGGGCGCAAGCCUGAUGCAGCCAUGCCGCGGGUAUGAAGAAGGCCUUAGGGUUGUAAAGUACUUUCAGCGGGGAGGCGUUACCCGCAGAAGAAGCACCGGCUAACUCCGUGCCAGCAGCCGCGGUAAUAC